UGAAGCUAAAAAAAUGGGAACUGAAGCAGCUAAAAUACCAAAAAAAUCCAAUUUCUUCACACAAGCGAUUUACAUUUUUCUGCUUGGGAAGUCUUUAGUGGUUAAGAUGAAUGUGAAAAGUAGAUGUACUUCAAGCUGGGAACUUCAUGUACUACUACAAGUAAGACUGAAAAUCGUGUAUGUGACGUUUCCAUAGACGUGUAAUGUGCCAUGGUCUUCAGAAGUAUGCAGGUAUGAAAAAUUAUUUUAAUUAAACUUUAUUAUGUAAAUCUCAUGACAUAAUUUAUAAGAAGAGAAAAGUAGAUUUUUAGGUAGGAUAAAAUAUGUGUUCCCCUUCAUCAUUGUCGUGGUUUAGCCCAAGCCAGCAGCUCAGCCCCACACAGCCGCUUGCUCACUCCCCCACAGUGGGAUGGGGGAGAGAAUCAGAAGAGUAAAAGUGAGAAAACUCGUGGGUUGAGAUAAAGACAGUUUAAUAGGUAAAGCAAAAGACGCGCACGCAAGCAAAGCAAACCAAGGAAUUCAUUCACCACUUCCCAUGGGCAGGCGGGUGUUCAGCCA